GCUCAACCGCUAGCCCACACAACCACUCAAAUCUCUAUCAUAUAUAAAACUAAACCAUUCGACCCAUAUUAGCCCAGUAUUUGAGAAAAAAAAGCCUAUUAGACGCAAUAGCACAAAGUAUUAAAAAAGAAUGCCGAAAGAACAAUUAAAAGACAAGCACAAAACAGCAGAAAUUAUUAACCGUACCUUUUGCAUCAUGGUUUAGCAAGAAAAACCAGAUAAAGAGAACUAAAACCUGACCACCCGAAACCAAACGAUCUAUCUAAGAGCAGUCAAAAGGACCCACCCAUCUCUGUAGCAAAAGAGCGGGAAGACUUAUAGAUAGAGGUGAUACGCCAACCGAGUUAGGUGAUAGCUGGUUGCCUACUAAACGAACCUAAGUUCAACUCUAAAAUAAUAUACCCCUACAACAGAAUAUUAAAUUACUAUUUUAGAAGAUAUACAAUAAGGGGACAGCCUUAUUGUAACUGGAUACAACCAAUACUAGAGGUCCAACGAAUAUUUAUUCCUCACCUUGUAGGCCUUCAAGCAGCCACCAAAUAACGCGUUAAAGCGAACUACAAUUACAAUUUCAAACAUCAAUUUAACCCCCUAGAAUCUCAUUAGGCCACUUUGUUUAACAAAGGAGAUACUGCUAAAAUUAGUAAUAAGAGCUAACCUCUCACUGCACCCCCUUACACCAGUACAGAUAACCUAACCGGUAAUUAACAAUACUAAAUGUAAACCAACUACAAGAACCAACACCACACAUUAUGUUAACCCAACACAGGUGUGCAAACAAAGAAAGAUUAAAAGCCACAAAAGGAAUUCAGCUAACACUGCCCCACCUGUUUACCAAAAACAUGGCCUUUAGCAAUAACAAGUAUUAAAGGUCCAACCUGCCCAGUGAAUAUUUUAACGGCCGCGGUAUCCUAACCGUGCAAAGGUAGCAUAAUCACUUGUCUUCUAAAUAGAGACUUGUAUGAACGGUCAAAUGAGGGCCUAACUGUCUCCUGUAGCUAAUCAAUGAACUUGAGCUUACAGUACAAACACUGUAAUACAACUAUAAGACGAGAAGACCCUGUGGAGCUUAAAGCUACUACAUUAACUUAAUACCGCGACCAUUAUGAGUAUAAUGUAAACUUUAAGUUGGGGCGACUAUGGAGUAAAAAAAACCCUCCAUGCAACACGACUAAAACUCGCCAUUCUAGGCCAACAAGCCAAUCCAAAAAGACCCAGUAAAACUGACUAUCGAACCAAGUUACCCCAGGGAUAACAGCGCCAUCCCCUUAAAGAGUUCACAUCGCCAAGGGGGUUUACGACCUCGAUGUUGGAUCAGGACUUCCAAGUGGUGCAGCCGCUACUAAAGGUUCGUUUGUUCAACGAAUAAUGUCCUACGUGAUCUGAGUUCAGACCGGAGCAAUCCAGGUCGGUUUCUAUCUAUAUUAUUCUUCUUUAGUACGAAAGGACCAAGAAGACACUAUCACUGCACCAUGUACAUAGUGAACGGAAAAACAGUAAACAACUAAAGAAUAACAAACCAAACAAUAGCCCUAGACCAGGGCAAACU
rnacentral:rRNA from 1 species